GAAGAGACCAGCAUCAUUGAGGUGACAUCUUUUGGGAAGUGUUUUCUGAGAGCACAGUGGCUGCAUUCCAGAUAUAGCCAAAGUUGUACCUUGUGCUGUGGCUGGACUUGGUAAUGUGUAAGGGUCACCCAGGUGGUACUGGUUUUGAAGGCAUGAAGGUGUCAUGAAGAACAUCUGAGGCUUGGCACUGUGAGAGGUCAUGGAAGGCCAUUGGAGAAGGUAUAGCCUCAGCUGUAGUUGAUGGCCCAGGACUGAAGGGGUCAUGCAGCGUUUUGGAGAUGCCAGUACCAUGAGAUGACCACCAAGAGCAGCAGCAGCAGUGGAGUACAGGCAUCUGGAGCCUAAAGGAUGAUGUGUGUGCUACAAAGGGCAUGGCUGGAAAAGUGACCCAAGCCCUUGGAGGAGCCCAGAAGAUCGUAAGUUGGAUCCCAGACAUUGGACGGUUGGAGAUUGACUUUUGCUUUUGAUUGUAACUGUGCCCUGAUAUUUUCCCUCUUGAAGGAAGAAACUGUUUUAGUGGAGCCCACGGUUAAGAGACUUUUAAUUGUAAAAAGACUUUGGAUUUUAAAAGAGAUGGAUAUUUUAAAGAGAUUGAAAAUUUAAGAAUAUGUAAAGACUGUGGGACUUUUAAAGUUAUUUAGAUCUU
rnacentral:lncRNA from 1 species